GAUGAACGCUGGCGGCGUGCCUAAUACAUGCAAGUCGAGCGAAGCGGGGACGGGUGAGUAACACGUGGAAAACCUCUGUAAGACAGGGAUAACUUCGGGAAACCAGAGGUAAACCGGAUAAGUAUAGAGGGGUCAGCUCUGCAUUAGCUAGUUGGGAAGGUAACGGUUUACCAAGGCAACGAUGCAUAGCCGACCUGAGAGGGUCAUCGGCCACACUGGAACUGAGACACGGUCCAGACUCCUACGGGAGGCAGCAGUCAGGACUCUUCCGCAAUGGGCUAACGCCUGACGGAGCAACGCCGCGUUAGUGAUGAAGGUCUUCGGAUCGUAAAACUCUGUUAUUAGGGAAGCGGUACCUAAUCAGAGCGCCACGGCUAACUACGUGCCAGCCGCCGCGGUAGAUC
rnacentral:rRNA from 1 species